UGAGAGACAUUUAAUUUAAUUAAUUAAUGUUAAGUUUGGUGAUUAAAACUUAAUAAGAGUGAAAAAAUGUGUCAAAAGUCAAUUUGGACUUUUCUUCUUAUAAACCUUUAUUAACCUUUAUAAAAAAUAAAAAAAAAUAAAAAAAAAUUAAUGGUCACAUAUAUGGAAAAGGGUGGCUGGCCAUGUGCUAUUUUAGAGUGGUGUGAACCCAAUUUUAUAAAAUUCAAAUCCCAUUUAAUUAAGAAGUCAAGUGGGCAAGUGGGUAGAAAAGCACUCAAGUGUUUUGUGAUAUUUUAAAGAGUUGUGUGAGCCAUUCUAACCCCCAAAUCCGACCACUCUCCCUCCCUCAUUCACUCUCAUCUGAUUUUUGAAGACUCUCUCAAGUGUUCUCUCCAUUUUGAACCCCAAGAACACCAAAGAAACUUGGAAGCUAAGUCUUGGUCUAGGAAGGGUUUUCCCUAAGUUGGUUAGGGUUUUUGAAAGGUUUUGAAGGAGUCAAAGCUUAUAGGAAGGUCCAAACCUUAAGCAAGAACACCAAAGAGUAUUGGCUAAGCGUAACUGGACUGAACGUUGGAGGGUGAAAACCUGCUGAGCGCUAAGGACUCCAAGUAAGAACAAGGGCAAGGCAGAGCAGUGAGCGCUGGAGUCUUCCUUGCAAAUGUACAUGUGGACCGAACUUUUGGGAAGCCUUUUUAUUUUUGGAAAUGUUGUGUAAUUUUCCUAAACUAGGCUCACUCUAAUCUUUAUAAAACAUGUUUGUAACUAAAUGUUAAGUAUGGCCAUACGACUUUUUAAAAAGUUUUUUUUC